rnacentral:lncRNA from 1 species
UUUCUUCUUCCCAAAUCUAUAACUCUCGUCUUGUUAUUAAUUAUAUAUGAAUCAAACAUAUAAUUUAAUAACAAUAAAAAUGGGGAUAUAUAUCACAAUUGUUGAUGAGUGAAGAAGAUGAAGUUUAAAUGGGAGAGCAAACUGCCGUAGAUGGGGUUUGCUAUCUUUCGAUUCUGCUUUUCUUUGAUAGUGAUGUCACGAUCAAAACCGGAGCCCUGGCCGUGACGGAGAUCCCGAACUAUGAAGGUCCGAGAGCCCUUCUAACCUGCAAUCAUAUACACCAUUCAUUUACAAAGAGGCACUGCAGAAAUACAAAACAAAACAGAAUCAUGGUUGAUAUCAUAAUUCAAUUGAACAAUCUAGAAUUGAAAACAUAAACCUCUAAACAACGUCUAACAUCAGUCUGCGAAAUCUCUAACAACUGAAAAUGACAUUUGUCUAAAAUCUGGGAUAAGCCCCCAGUCGGGCCAUGAAUCAAAAUGAAAUAACAAUAACAAGUUCUAAUACAGGCCUUCCGAAGUAAGGGAGGCUCACCAAUUGCAACUACCGACGCACUCAAACAUAUUGCUGAACUGGACCCCGAGACUGUGCCUCAGAUCCUGAAAUGGAGGGGGGGUUAAUACAGAUGCACUGGUAUGCAAAACAAUCCAGAAUAAUGUACUUUUAUAUACAACAUAGGUGAGAGCAUUUCAUAAAAAUGUUAAGCAAGAAAUAAUUUAAAACACAUGGGCAACUUAAAAUAAUCAUUAAAUGCAGAUCUGUAGAUGUAAAAUCAUUCUUUAUUUUUUUUUACUUCUGAGGUAAGUGGUACACCCUACAUAUCUGAAAGUUUUCCACGGGCAAUAUGGGAUCUGCCAUUAAUUCGACGGCCAAGCCCUCCACCUAAGUUUUCCGAAAGGGUUGAAGUGUCUGAAUCUGAUACACCACAAGGCACCAGGCCAGCGUAUAAUAAUACACCCGUAUCGGAAAAACACAAUUUUGGGAAAUGAAUCAUAUGACUCGUGCCUUCUUCGGGUGACCAUCUAACUCUUUUAGUGCCCAGUUUUUAACCCAUUCUAAACAUGAAUCUUUUUUAAUUCAAAAUCUGAAAUCUAAAGUGAAAUCUGUAUCCUGUUCUGAGUUUUAUCAUGACUUUAUCUGAUUUGGUAUCGUCAUACCAAGACUUGCAAGUCAUAAUUUUGAGCCAUAAAAUAUCCUUUACAGCUUUCUCUUUCCAAAUACAAAGGUUAGACCAUCAUACUUCAAACAAUUCCGAAAGAUUCAUUCUUCCAAAACAUUUAUCAAAUUACGCAAAGGUCAUUCUUUUCAAUCAUUUCAACAAACAUGUGGUGGUCAUGAGUUUCAACAACCCAUGAAAUUUUUUUCAUAUAUAUAUAUAUAUAUAUUCAGCACUUACCAACAUGUAAAACCCUCUCUCUUCAAUUCAAAAAUCAUAAUCAAGUCAUAAACAAAGUCAAGGCUUUUAUAUUGAAUUAUAUCUCUAAUAUCACAUUUCGAACACAUCAUAUCUUACAAAGUUAAGAGACUUGUAAAUAAGAGAGGGAUUUCAAAUAGUUCAUGCUCUUAAUUCAUAAUUUAAACUCAUCAAACUCAUACAUAUAUCUACUUAAACAUGGUUAUAAAUUAGAUUUGAGGGAAAGGCCUCAAGAUCAAAUGAAUAUCAUCAAAAACUUUAAAAGCAUGAAUCUAAUUAUAAAUCCAAAACCCCCCUUUUUGUAAAUUCAUAGUUUCUAAACCUUUAACAUGAUUAAUAAGAAUUUACCAUGCCCAUGUGGAUUUAGAAAAAUUCCAUAUACCUUAGAUUACAAGGUUUGAAGAGUAUAACUCGAAUCUUGAUUUGUUCUUUGGAAAUCUUGGACUUACGAGAUUGAUUCUUGAUCUUGAAAGAAAGCCUAGCUUCCAUUUUACUCUUGAGAGAGGAGAGGAAUUGAG